GACGAACGCUGGCGGCGUGCCUAAUACAUGCAAGUCGAGCGGACGGAUGGGAGCUUGCUCCCAGACCGUCAGCGGCGGACGGGUGAGUAACACGUGGGCAACCUGCCUGUAAGACUGGGAUAACUCCGGGAAACCGGGGCUAAUACCGGAUAACUCUUUCCCUCACAUGAGGGAAAGCUGAAAGAUGGCAUCUCGCUAUCACUUACAGGUAGGCCCGCGGCGCAUUAGCUAGUUGGUGAGGUAAAGGCUCACCAAGGCGACGAUGCGUAGCCGACCUGAGAGGGUGAUCGGCCACACUGGGACUGAGACACGGCCCAGACUCCUACGGGAGGCAGCAGUAGGGAAUCUUCCGCAAUGGACGAAAGUCUGACGGAGCAACGCCGCGUGAGUGAUGAAGGUUUUCGGAUCGUAAAACUCUGUUGUCAGGGAAGAACAAGUACCGGAGUAACUGCCGGUACCUUGACGGUACCUGACCAGAAAGCCACGGCUAACUACGUG
rnacentral:rRNA from 1 species